GGGGGAAACCCUGACGCAGCAACGCCGCGUGAGCGAUGAAGGCCUUCGGGUCGUAAAGCUCUGUCUUUAGGGACGAUAAUGACGGUACCUAAGGAGGAAGCCACGGCUAACUACGUGCCAGCAGCCGCGGUAAUACGUAGGUGGCGAGCGUUGUCCGGAAUUACUGGGCGUAAAGGGUGCGUAGGCGGAAUCUUAAGUCAGAUGUGAAAUCCCUGGGCUUAACCUGGGAAUGGCAUUUGAAACUGGGGUUCUAGAGUGCAGGAGAGGAAAGCGGAAUUCCUAGUGUAGCGGUGAAAUGCGUAGAUAUUAGGAAGAACACCAGUGGCGAAGGCGGCUUUCUGGACUGUAACUGACGCUGAGGCACGAAAGCGUGGGGAGCAAACAGGAUUAGAUACCCUGGUAGUCCACGCUGUAAACGAUGAGUGCUAGGUGUAGGAGGUAUCGACACCUUCUGUGCCGCAGUAAACGCAAUAAGCACUCCGCCUGGGGAGUA
rnacentral:rRNA from 1 species